rfam:TPA: Bos taurus chromosome 22, whole genome shotgun sequence.
UCCGUGGUGGCUCAGACAGUAAAGCAUCUGCCUACAAUGCAGGAGACCCGGGUUUGAUCCCUGGUUGGGGAA